rnacentral:lncRNA from 1 species
AUUCUUGCAGCCCAACGCACUCGAGAGAUAGUAGUUACAUGUGAAUACUGUGCUGGCGAGCAUCCGAGUUAUCAGUACAACAUCAAGGUUGGACAAGUGCAGUUUGGGGGUGAUUACUUCAACAAUGAUGUUUAUCCUGAUUAUCAACAAGGUUGGGGGUAUCACCCAGAUUAUGAAUUGAGUUAUAACUAUCUCGACCAAUACUACAUCCCAAGUCCAACACAUCCAUCAGAUUUCUCAUAUCCACCUUCAACGCAACAAAAGGAAAAUUCAAGGUUGAAGGAGUUCAUGUCAAAAAGCAUAGCAGACCAUGAAGAGAUGAUGAUGAGUCAGGAGUUAUAAAGCCAAAAUCUUAACAAACAGAUGGAACUACUUAUUAACUCCUCAAUGAAUGGUCCUCAAUACAUGGAUUUUGAAACUAAACAAGAUAAUUCAAGAUUGGAGGAUUUGUGGUUCAAGUGUGUAGCAUCAAGUGAGGAGAAGAUGAUUGAGAAAGAGAGGUCAAUUCGAAAUCUUCAGAAUCAGAUGGAUCAAAUGUUUGAAGCCUUGAACAAUCGCCCUCCAAACAAUUGGUACUAUGACAUGGAUGAUGAAACUGAUGGAAUGCCAGAAGUGUGCAUACCACUGGAUGAACUGAAAGGAGUGGACGUUGAGGAUACAACUGGGGGUUUGGAAAAUGAAGAAUAUCAUAUCACCUAUAUUAAACCCCAAGUGC